rnacentral:rRNA from 1 species
CGGAGGAUCCAAGCGUUAUCCGGAAUCAUUGGGUUUAAAGGGUCCGUAGGCGGUCUGGUAAGUCAGUGGUGAAAGCCCAUCGCUCAACGGUGGAACGGCCAUUGAUACUGCUGGACUUGAAUUAUUGGGAAGUAACUAGAAUAUGUAGUGUAGCGGUGAAAUGCUUAGAGAUUACAUGGAAUACCAAUUGCGAAGGCAGGUUACUACCAAUGGAUUGACGCUGAUGGACGAAAGCGUGGGUAGCGAACAGGAUUAGAUACCCUGGUAGUCCACGCCGUAAACGAUGGAUACUAGCUGUUGGGAGCAAUCUCAGUGGCUAAGCGAAAGUGAUAAGUAUCCCACCUGGGGAGUACGUUCGCAAGAAUG